UGAUCCUGGCUCAGGAUGAACGCUAGCUACAGGCUUAACACAUGCAAGUCGAGGGGCAGCAUAAACUUAGCUUGCUAAGUUUGAUGGCGACCGGCGCACGGGUGAGUAACGCGUAUCCAACCUUCCGUACACUCAGGGAUAGCCUUUCGAAAGAAAGAUUAAUACCUGAUGGUAUGAUGAGAUUGCAUGAUAGCAUCAUUAAAGAUUUAUCGGUGUACGAUGGGGAUGCGUUCCAUUAGGUAGUAGGCGGGGUAACGGCCCACCUAGCCAACGAUGGAUAGGGGUUCUGAGAGGAAGGUCCCCCACAUUGGAACUGAGACACGGUCCAAACUCCUACGGGAGGCAGCAGUGAGGAAUAUUGGUCAAUGGACGAGAGUCUGAACCAGCCAAGUAGCGUGAAGGAUGAAGGUCCUACGGAUUGUAAACUUCUUUUAUAAGGGAAUAAACCCUCCCACGUGUGGGAGCUUGUAUGUACCUUAUGAAUAAGCAUCGGCUAACUCCGUGCCAGCAGCCGCGGUAAUACGGAGGAUGCGAGCGUUAUCCGGAUUUAUUGGGUUUAAAGGGAGCGCAGACGGGUCGUUAAGUCAGCUGUGAAAGUUUGGGGCUCAACCUUAAAAUUGCAGUUGAUACUGGCGUCCUUGAGUGCGGUUGAGGUGUGCGGAAUUCGUGGUGUAGCGGUGAAAUGCUUAGAUAUCACGAAGAACUCCGAUUGCGAAGGCAGCACACUAAUCCGUAACUGACGUUCAUGCUCGAAAGUGUGGGUAUCAAACAGGAUUAGAUACCCUGGUAGUCCGCACGGUAAACGAUGGAUACUCGCUGUUGGCGAUAUACUGUCAGCGGCUUAGCGAAAGCGUUAAGUAUCCCACCUGGGGAGUACGCCGGCAACGGUGCAACUCAAAUGAAUUGACGGA
rnacentral:rRNA from 1 species